rnacentral:lncRNA from 13 species
AAUUAUGAAAGCUUACUCUCUAGCUUGCUCUCUCUCUCUCUCUGCCUGCUACAGGAGGAUACCCCAAGAAGACAGCUGUCUGCAAACCAGGAAGAAGCCCUUUACUAGACACUGGAUCUGCUGGUGCCUUGAGCUUGAACUUCCUAGCCUAAAACUAGAAGAUCAGAAUAUCAGCCAUGGCUGUGAGUGAAGUGAUGGGGUCUAGCUUUUAGAGAGGAGGAACAGAAAAUGAGUAUCGUCGAGCAGAAUCACAUGACAUUUUAGUCGUUUUAUAAAACUACUCUGAGCAAGACCCUUGGCUAGGGAAUGUGAACAACAAGAACUUUGCUGGACAACAGGGUGAGUAUAAUCAAAAAUAAUUUAGCUAUACAUUUAAAAAUAACUAAAAGAAUAUAGCUGGAAUGUUGGUAACACAGAAAUAAAUGCCUGAUGUGAUAAACA